UACGUAGGAGGCAAGCGUUGUCCGGAAUUACUGGGUGUAAAGCGCGUGUAGGCGGCAGGCCAAGUCUGUGGUGAAAUCGCUCGGCUCAACUGGGCGGGGUCCAUGGAAACUGGUCAGCUGGAGGACGGUAGAGGUGAGUGGAAUUCCCGGUGUAGUGGUGAAAUGCGUAGAGAUCGGGAGGAACACCCGUGGCGAAGGCGGCUCACUGGGCCGGUCCUGACGCUGAGACGCGAAGGCGUGGGGGAGCGAACAGG
rnacentral:rRNA from 1 species